rnacentral:rRNA from 1 species
CUCGGAUCAGGUAGGGAUACCCGCUGAACUUAAGCAUAUCAAUAAGCGGAGGAAAAGAAACCAACCGGGAUUGCCUCAGUAACGGCGAGUGAAGCGGCAAGAGCUCAAAUUUGAAAGCUGGCUCCUUCGGGGUCCGCAUUGUAAUUUGCAGAGGAUGCUUCGGGUGCGGCCCCUGUCUAAGUGCCCUGGAACGGGCCGUCAGAGAGGGUGAGAAUCCCGUCUGGGAUGGGG